GAUGAAGAACGUAGCGAAAUGCGAUAAGUAAUGCGAAUUGCAGAAUCCGUGAGUCAUCGAAUCUUUGAACGCACAUUGCGCCCUCUGGUAUUCCGGAGGGCAUGCCUGUCCGAGCGUCAUUGCUGCCCUCAAGCACGGCUUGUGUGUUGGGCCUCCGUCCUCCUCCCGGGGGACGGGCCCGAAAGGCAGCGGCGGCACCGCGUCCGGUCCUCGAGCGUAUGGGGCUUCGUCACCCGCUCUUGUAGGCCCGGCCGGCGCUUGCCGACACAUCAAUCUUUUUUCCAGGUUGACCUCGGAUCAGGUAGGGAUACCCGCUGAACUUAAGCAUAUCAAUAAGCGGAGGA
rnacentral:misc_RNA from 1 species